rnacentral:rRNA from 1 species
GACAGAGGAUGCAAGCGUUAUCCGGAAUGAUUGGGCGUAAAGCGCGUGUAGGCGGCUUUGCAAGUCGGGUGUGAAAGCCCUCGGCUCAACCGAGGAAGUGCGCCCGAAACUGCAGAGCUUGAGUACCGGAGAGGAUGGCGGAAUUCCCCAAGUAGAGGUGAAAUUCGUAGAUAUGGGGAGGAACACCGGUGGCGAAGGCGGCCAUCUGGACGGAUACUGACGCUGAGACGCGAAAGCGUGGGGAGCGAACAGG